rnacentral:rRNA from 1 species
UACGUAGGUGGCAAGCGUUACUCGGAAUCACUAGGCGUAAAGCGCAGGUAGGAGGUUUGGUAAGUCUGUUGUGAAAGCUCCCGGCUUAACUGGGAGAGGUCAACGGAAACUACUAGGCUAGAGUGCGGUAGAGGUAGCUGGAAUUCCCGGUGUAGCGGUGAAAUGCGUAGAUAUCGGGAGGAAUACCUAUGGCGAAAGCAGGCUACUGGACCGUCACUGACUCUGAUCUGCGAAAGCUAGGGGAGCAAACAGG